rnacentral:rRNA from 1 species
UACAGAGGUGGCAAGCGUUGUUCGGAAUUACUGGGCGUAAAGGGCGCGUAGGCGGCCCGUCAAGUCCCGUGUGAAAGCCCCCGGCUCAACCGGGGAACUGCACGGGAAACUAGCAGGCUUGAGUUCGGGAGAGGGAAGCGGAAUUUCGGGUGUAGCGGUGAAAUGCGCAGAUAUCCGAAGGAACACCGGUGGCGAAGGCGGCCCACUGGUCCGGUACUGACGCUGAGGUGCGAAAGCGUGGGGAGCAAACAGG